UACGUAGGGCGCAAGCGUUGUCCGGAAUUAUUGGGCGUAAAGAGCUCGUAGGCGGUUUGUCGCGUCUGGUGUGAAAACUCGAGGCUCAACCUCGAGCUUGCAUCGGGUACGGGCAGACUAGAGUGCGGUAGGGGAGACUGGAAUUCCUGGUGUAGCGGUGGAAUGCGCAGAUAUCAGGAGGAACACCGAUGGCGAAGGCAGGUCUCUGGGCUGUCUCUGACGCUGAUGCGCGAAAGCUGGGGGAGCAAACAGG
rnacentral:rRNA from 1 species